GAAAAAGGGGGAGACAGCUGGGGCCCUAGGGGCUCCCCCUGAGGGUCUGUCCCUGGGAACGGGGCGCUGGGACGGGCACUCCUUCUGCCUGUAAUGCUACACCGGUGAGGGAAAGGAGUCCACUAGGGAAGUACCUGGAGCUGGAGACGGGGAGAGAAAUCACAGAAAUUCAGUUAACAAACGACUGCUUGGGAGCAGUCAUGUCACCCAGUCCAGAGGGAGCCGGUCAGCUGCGUUCCGCGAACUUGGAAGGCUACUGCGGGGGGAGCGGCGGGGCCCUCACUGUGCGUUGUCAGGGACGAGGCCCUGGGGCGGCCCCGAAGCGUCGAAACUACAACUCCCGGGAUGCCGCGGGCCAGGCUGCAUCCCGCCUGCGCAGACGUGGUGGCAACUCCGUCCCUCGCCAGGCGGCGGCGCUGCGGGCUCAGUCCUAAGCGGGCGGAGGCGGUGAGCGCCGUCGGUCUGGGCGGGCCGGGAGAACCGGGUGCUUCGGGGAGAUCUGCGGGCUGGGUUGGGGGCGUUUGAGCCCUUGGCUUGUCCCAGUGGGUAGGCGGGACCCCAAUCCCCGCCUCCUCCAGGGUAAAGCUCUCAGGUCCACCUGGCGCGACGCUGAGCCAUCUUCAGAAGCACCGCAGCCCUCAGAACCCCACAUCCCGCUGCCGGUGGUUCCCCGCAUCCGGUGUCCGCCCCCGAAGCCUCCCUCCCUCCCUCCCCCGCAGCCCCAGCUACCUGCCCUUAACCGCGACCUGGGCCUCUCCUGGGGAGGCCCAGGGUGGGGUCCUCAGAGGUCCAGGGACCCAGGGGCAUUUGUGGGGUGUGUAGGGGGGUGGGCUUAAGGGAAGGGUGGUCCCUUUCAAAUUGGGACCACCAGGCUGGAAUCAGCUCACGGGUUCCUCCUCUGUGGCUUCCUGUGGCACUCCAAGUGGGAAGAAGAGAAGCUUGGAAGUGAAAGCCUCAGCUUCUCCUUUCUUCAGCCCCUCAAGCCUCAGAAAGAUCUGUCAAGCUCGGCCCGCCUCCACAGAGGCCAUGGGGAGAUGGCCUAGACCUUGAAAUAUCCUAGAAGAGGUUUGACAGGUUGGAGCUUUUGCUAGAGAGAUGGAUCACAGAUGGGCUUAAGGGGUGGAGGGUGUUUGCGUGUGUGUGUGUGUGUGUGUGUGUGAGAGAGAGAGAGAGAAAGAGAUUGCCAGGUGAGGAAGAUGAUGAGCUGAAACCAACUUGGAGCUAUGCUGUAUUAUUAUGAUGAGGAUUUGGGUUGGGGGAUGUUACAGGCUCUAACCAGAAAGCUGGAAGAUGUGAUAGGUGGGGCCAUUUAAAAAAAAAAAAAAAAAAACCCUAAA